UACGUAGGCACCAAGCGUUGUUCGGAAUUACUGGGCGUAAAGCGAGUGUAGGCGGUUUGCCAAGUCGGUUGUGAAAUCUCCCGGCUUAACUGGGAGGGUGCGACUGAAACUGGCAGGCUGGAGUGCGGGAGAGGAGAGUGGAAUUCCUGGUGUAGCGGUGAAAUGCGUAGAUAUCAGGAGGAACACCGGUGGUGAAGACGGCUCUCUGGACCGCUACUGACGC
rnacentral:rRNA from 1 species